rnacentral:misc_RNA from 1 species
GAUGAAGAACGUAGCGAAAUGCGAUAACUAAUGUGAAUUGCAGAAUUCCGUGAAUCAUCGAGUCUUUGAACGCACAUUGCGCCCCCUGGUAUUCCGGGGGGCAUGCCUGUCCGAGCGUCAUUGCUGCCCAUCAAGCACGGCUUGUGUGUUGGGUCCUCGUCCCCCCCGGGGGACGUGCCCGAAAGGCAGCGGCGGCACCGCGUCCGGUCCUCGAGCGUAUGGGGCUUUGUCACCCGCUCUGCAGGCCCGGCCGGCGCUGGCCGACGCGAAAGCAACCAUUUUUUCUCCAGGUUGACCUCGGAUCAGGUAGGGAUACCCGCUGAACUUAAGCAUAUCAAUAAUCGGAGGA